rnacentral:lncRNA from 1 species
UGACAGCGGACUGUCCACUGACGAGUCUGAGCCAGCCACAACUCCCAGAGGUUUCCGAGCACUGCCCAUAACCCAACCCACUCCCCGGGGAGGUCCAGAGGAGACCAUCACUCAGCAAGGACGAACGCCAAGGACAGUAACUGAGUCCAGCUCAUCCCACCCUCCUGAGCCCCAGGGCCUAGGCCUCAGGUCUGGCUCCUACAGCCUCCCUAGGAAUAUCCACAUUGCCAGAAGCCAGAACUUCAGGAAAAGCACCACCCAGGCUAGCAGUCACAACCCUGGAGAACCGGGGAGGCUUGCGCCAGAGCCUGAGAAAGAACAGGUCAGCCAGAGCAGCCAACCCAGGCAGGCACCUGCCAGCCCCCAGGAGGCUGCCCUUGACUUGGACGUGGUGCUCAUCCCUCCGCCAGAAGCUUUCCGGGACACCCAGCCAGAGCAGUGUAGGGAAGCCAGCCUGCCCGAGGGGCCAGGACAGCAGGGCCACACACCCCAGCUCCACACACCAUCCAGCUCCCAGGAAAGAGAGCAGACUCCUUCAGAAGCCAUGUCCC